rnacentral:rRNA from 1 species
GACGAACGCUGGCGGCGUGCUUAACACAUGCAACUCGAACGGAAAGGCCCUGCUUUUGUGGGGUGCUCGAGUGGCGAACGGGUGAGUAACACGUGAGUAACCUGCCCUUGACUUUGGGAUAACUUCAGGAAACUGGGGCUAAUACCGGAUAGGAGCUCCUGCUGCAUGGUGGGGGUUGGAAAGUUUCGGCGGUUGGGGAUGGACUCGCGGCUUAUCAGCUUGUUGGUGGGGUAGUGGCUUACCAAGGCUUUGACGGGUAGCCGGCCUGAGAGGGUGACCGGCCACAUUGGGACUGAGAUACGGCCCAGACUCCUACGGGAGGCAGCAGUGGGGAAUAUUGCACAAUGGGCGGAAGCCUGAUGCAGCAACGCCGCGUGCGGGAUGACGGCCUUCGGGUUGUAAACCGCUUUCGCCUGUGACGAAGCGUGAGUGACGGUAAUGGGUAAAGAAGCACGGGCUAACUACGUG